UUCAAGUUCAGUCGUAGGUUUUUUUCUAACGUUUAACCGUCCAUUUUUUUUAAAAUAUUUUUACAGUUAGUACUUUUAUUAUUAUCAGAUGAUAAACUAAAAAUAAUAUUUUAUGUGUGAUCUAUUUUUAAUAUUUUUUUUAAAAUAAAACGAACAAUUAAAUAUUGAACACAUAAAUAAUACGCAACACAAAAC
rnacentral:pre_miRNA from 1 species